AUGGCCAUCCUCAGACCCCUUGUGAAGCCCAAGAUCGUCAAAAAGAGCACCAAGAAGUUCACUGGGCACCAGUCAGACUGAUAUGUCAAAAUUAAGUGUAACUGGUGGAAACACAGAGGUAUUGGCAACAUGGUUCAUAGAAGGUUCGAGGGCCAGAUCUAUGCCCAACAUUGGUUAUGGGAGAAACAAAAAAAAAAAGACAAAGCACAUACUGACCAGUGGCUUCUGGAAGUUCCUGGUCCACAAUGUUAAGGAACUAGAAGUACUGCUGAUGUGUAACAAAUCUUACUGUGUUGAGAUCACUCAUGAUGUUUCCUCCAAGAACUACAAAGCCAUCUUAGAAAGAGCAGCUCAGGUGGUCAUCAGAGUCACCAAUGCCAGUGCCAGCCUACACAGUGCAGAAAGUGAAUAGACAGCGAAUGUGUUUGUUUUAUUGGGAUUUAAAUAAAACCAAUAAAACUGUAAAAACAAAAACAACAAAA